ensembl:piRNA 21ur-7097 ncRNA
UGUGUAGUUUGUUCAUUAAAA